UACGUAGGGUGCAAGCGUUAAUCGGAAUUACUGGGCGUAAAGCGUGCGCAGGCGGUUGGGCAAGACAGAUGUGAAAUCCCCGGGCUUAACCUGGGAAUUGCAUUUGUGACUGUACGGCUAGAGUGUGUCAGAGGGGGGUAGAAUUCCACGUGUAGCAGUGAAAUGCGUAGAGAUGUGGAGGAAUACCGAUGGCGAAGGCAGCCCCCUGGGAUAACACUGACGCUCAUGCACGAAAGCGUGGGGAGCAAACAGG
rnacentral:rRNA from 1 species